UGGGGAAUAUUGCACAAUGGGCGAAAGCCUGAUGCAGCAACGCCGCGUGAGGGAAGACGGUUUUCGGAUUGUAAACCUCUGUUUUCGGUGACGAAUAAAUGACGGUAACCGAGUAGGAAGCCACGGCUAACUACGUGCCAGCAGCCGCGGUAAUACGUAGGUGGCAAGCGUUAUCCGGAAUUACUGGGUGUAAAGGGAGCGCAGGCGGGAUAGCAAGUCAGCUGUGAAAACUAUGGGCUCAACCUAUAAACUGCAGUUGAAACUGUAUCUCUUGAGUGUCGGAGAGGUAGACGGAAUUCCUAGUGUAGCGGUGAAAUGCGUAGAUAUUAGGAGGAACACCAGUGGCGAAGGCGGUCUACUGGACGAUAACUGACGCUGAGGCGCGAAAGCGUGGGGAGCAAACAGGAUUAGAUACCCUGGUAGU
rnacentral:rRNA from 1 species